rnacentral:lncRNA from 1 species
GUUCCUGAAUAUUUGUCACAGCAAUGAGCUAAAGCCCCUGGAAGAGGUGAAGUUGGGAAACUGUGGAUUGCCAAGACUCAAGGAAGGACUGAGGUGUCAUUUACUUUGAAUGAAGAUCUUGCAAAUAUUCAUGAUAUUGGCCGAAAAGCAGCUUCAGUCAGUGCUCAUAAAGAACAUCCAUUUGUCUUGCAAAAUAUUGGAGGCCAUAUAUGAACAAUAUUUACUGAGAGCUCAUCAGAUAAGCUGUCUUCGGAAGGAAUAGUGGUACAAAGAACUGAAUGCCAACAGACUGCCAGUGAAAAGUACAUGAGAUUAAAAAGAUUGCAAAUAGAGGAAUCUUCCAAACCUGUAAGGCUAUCACAACAACUGGACAAAGUUGUAACAGCCAGUUUUGAACCUGUUGCUAAUCAAUACAAUACUGAAUGUGAAAGGAAAGAGAAAACAGAUGGAAAAUAAGCUCCAGCUAAUAAACAACACGUUUCAGACAUGCUAUUUUCAGCCUUUAGAAAUAUCAAUAUUAUCAUCUUAAGGACUUGGUGGACAUCACAAAACAACCUGUGGUAUACCUGAGGGAACUCUUAAAUUGGUCUUCAGAAUGUAAAAGAGAUCCACAAAAACACGUGGGAGCUGAAACCAGAGUACAGACAUCACCAAGGAGAAGAAAUGAGUGAUUAA